UACGGAGGGUGCAAGCGUUAUCCGGAUUCACUGGGUUUAAAGGGUGCGUAGGAGGUCAAGUAAGUCAGUGGUGAAAUCUCCAAGCUUAACUUGGAAACUGCCGUUGAUACUAUCUGUCUUGAAUAUUGUGGAGGUGAGCGGAAUAUGUCAUGUAGCGGUGAAAUGCUUAGAUAUGACAUAGAACACCAAUUGCGAAGGCAGCUCGCUACACAUAUAUUGACUCUGAGGCACGAAAGCGUGGGGAUCAAACAGG
rnacentral:rRNA from 1 species